rnacentral:lncRNA from 1 species
UUUUUUUUUUUUUUUUUUGAGACGGAGUCUCGCUCUGUCGCCCAGGCUGGAGUGCAGUGGCCGGAUCUCAGCUCACUGCAAGCUCCGCCUCCGGGUUCCCGCCAUUCUCCUGCCUCAACCUCCCGAGUAGCUGGGACUACAGGUGCCACCUCACCGGCUAGUUUUGUAUUCUUUUAGUAGAGACGGGUUUCACCAUGUUAGCCAGGAUGGUCUCGAUCUCCUGACCUCGUGAUCCACCCGUCUCGGCCUCCCAAAGUGCUGGGAUUACAGGCUUGAGCCACCGCGCCCGGCCCCCACCCUACCUUUUUAAUAUGCAAAUACAGGGAGCCUUGAUAUUCUACCCCUGUGGGGAUAUGUGGGCGUGGCCAUGUUGCCAGGCACUGUUGGGGCAAAGGCAAGAGGGACGCGGGAAUCGCCAUGUUUGGGUGGACCCAGUUCCUAAUGGCAUUUGCAUAUCAAAGUUGCCAGCCCAGCUCUAAAAGCCACAGCUUUUUAGCUAGGCAAGAAACGUUUCUGGAGCUGAGUUAAAAACAAAAACUUUCCAAGGGGCUCUUUUCAUCGCUAUCUGCCUAAAAUAAUUUCUUAAUUAACUUCUCUCACAUCAUCACCUCCCAUAACUUGUCUCCAAGACAGCCCCACACUCCUCUUCCCUUCUCUAGCUCAGGAUGUGUACACUUCAGUCAUCUGACCCGUCUUUGAGUCUCAUGUUUCAUGACUCUCCCAUGUGUAUACAACGAAAUAUAUUUUUCCUCCUGUUAAUCUGUCGUAUGUCAAUUUGACUUGAAGGCCAGACAAAGAACCUAGGAAGGUGGAGGGAAGCCACUUUUUUCUGCCCUGUACCCCUCACCUCGCUCGUGGAGGCUCUCGCUCGUGGAGGCUGUGAGGGAACAGGACCCUGCUGAGUGUCACGUGAGAAUCUGCCUCCACUUGGAGUUUUGUUAAUGCAUGACUGACAGGAAGGGCAGCGCAGUCAGUUACUCCGUGGACCUCAUCCCCAGUUGAUGGCCUGUACUUUGAGGCACUCAGUCAUUGGUUAUUCACUGUUCAUUCAACAAAUACUUACUGAACACUCUGGAAAUAAAUGAAGACCAACCAAAUAAGAAAAUCAAAGGCUAUUUACCCAGAGUUCCCUAUAGUAAAGGAGUCAGCCACCGCCACUUGUACUUCGUCAGAGAAGAGGAAAAGCUUUCAAGUGGAAAAAGAAGCCUCAGGUGUGCUCUGAGGGGAGGCUGUGGCUGUGGGGGUGCUGGAGGUGGGCUAACUAGGAGCAGGUGUCCCAUCAUGUUACGGUAAGGGAGGAGACCAACCCUCGUAUCGUCUUAUGCCCAAUUUCUGCCUCCAAAGAAAGAAGAAGUAAAAACUAAAAGGCAGAAAUGAAAUCCACAGGCACACAGCCCGGUGCCGCUAAAACUACCUUUAACCA